rnacentral:rRNA from 1 species
AUUGAACGCUGGCGGCAUGCCUUACACAUGCAAGUCGAACGGCAGCAUGGGUGCUUGCACCUGAUGGCGAGUGGCGAACGGGUGAGUAAUGCAUCGGAACGUGCCCUGAAGUGGGGGAGAACGUAGCGAAAGUUACGCUAAUACCGCAUAUUCUGUGAGCAGGAAAGAGGGGGAUCGCAAGACCUCUUGCUUUAGGAGCGGCCGAUGUCGGAUUAGCUAGUUGGUGGGGUAAAGGCCUACCAAGGCGACGAUCCGUAGCGGGUCUGAGAGGAUGAACCGCCACACUGGGACUGAGACACGGCCCAGACUCCUACGGGAGGCAGCAGUGGGGAAUUUUGGACAAUGGGCGCAAGCCUGAUCCAGCCAUGCCGCGUGAGUGAAGAAGGCCUUCGGGUUGUAAAGCUCUUUCGGUGGGGAAGAAAUUGCUUCGGCUAAUAUCCGGAGUAGAUGACGGUACCCGCAUAAGAAGCACCGGCUAACUACGUGCCAGCCGCCGCGGUAAUAC